rnacentral:pre_miRNA from 1 species
UCUUGUGAAUAAGCAGAGAAAGUGGUUUCUUGAGAUGGAAUCUACUCCUGGUGAAGGUGCCUGUGAA